ACUUGCACCACAAAAACAAACUAAAAGUAUAUGUGAAAUAAACUUUUGCCAAAGAUGUUUUCUGUCAUUUUGUAGUUCAGGUUGCAUUUGCAGGUUCAACUUGGCCUAUCAGAUAGUUCUUGCUAAAAUACAAACGUACGCCCCGCCCACCGCUUCUGCUUAUGUCGCGAACCCUUUCGUUAGCCGUCGUUAGAUCCACUAAACGCUACUUUACUCCAGUUUCAAAGUUCAGAGUUUCCUGUCCUGCCGUCGACAGCCGGUGACUGCGACUCUCAUUUUACUCCAGUAAGCUAAGGGAUCAGCUGUCGGCUCCCGGGUUGGGGAUAGCCGGCUGAAGAGGGGGGAAAUGCACGGACGUGAGAACCCCCUGCAAACCCCCCAUCUGCACGUCAUGGAACAUUUGCAGAACAGGAACCUCCCACCUUAAAGGCGUGCAACAGAGAGCAGACACAACAGAGAGAUCAGCCCUGCACCGGACUCACCAUCUUAGGUGACAAAUACACCUCCCGCUAUUGUGUAUCAGCGGGAGGAGGAAGAACAAUUUGAUAAAAAAAUAAAAUACAGUACGAGCGCGGUGGGAACGGCGGGGGGGACGCAGGUUUACCGGUCACCGCACAGCACCAACAUGACUUCAUCGACAUUUUAAUGAUGCACGACAGAGAAAUCUUGUUUUCUUGAGUCUGUCGUGCACAGCAGGGGUAUAGAGAUCAGUUUUGCGCCGUCAGCGUGCUUUAAAAUGUCCCACACGGCCGGGGUGUUCUUACAGCUGCGAACAGCAGAGGGCGCUAAGGCGUCGCAAUAUUUCAGAUAAUCCUGGCGUGAUCAAAGUCAAACUGAUACGAUCAAUAUACAUAUGAGGAGAUUUAUUUCAGUGAUGUUCUUUAAUGAUACAUUAGUUUUGUUUGAACAAUCCUUCACAUUUAAACAAACUGUCACAUCAGUGCUGCUGGGAAAUCAAAUGAAGAAUAUGUAGAUUUAAAAAGACAAUUACAGAAGUGACAAAAGUUCCUCAUAUUUCACAGUUUUGAUGUCAGAGGUCCAUUAAUGCAUACAGGCAAACUUUUCUGGGCCUGAAAAAUGACUUUUAUGUCUCAAAGUUAACUUUUAUGAUUGAAGUCACCCAAUAUAAAAACAA